rnacentral:SRP_RNA from 1 species
GUCAGUGGCUCUCGCGAGGGGGAAGCGCGAACCUGGUCAGGACUUAAGUGGAGCAGCCAUAAGCGUCGUACUCUUGUGCGAGGGCCUCUAACGGG